ACCGCUCUGUGCCGGGGGGCGUGGCUUGGUGAGCAGAGUGCAGAUGGGUUUACCAUCUCACUCACCCCUCAGCUUCAAGUUCUACGUCAAGAACAAUCUACACAAUCGUAGAUGAAAGUCCUAUCAUCAUGGAGUCCAAAAUUCCAUCACGAGGAUCCAUUCUACGUACCUGGAUGAAAGCAUCGUUCCCCACUUGAUCAAGUGUGAACACCCCCAGAUACUGGGUUUUCAGAAGUCUGUGACGACUCCUGGCAAGAGGGAACAAAUUUCUGGAGUUAAAUGGGAUGAUAAGUUCACCUUCGCUUCUGAAUUAUCUUCCCCAUUUUUUGCAUAUGAAGUUUUACCCAACACGUGCCUAGGCCAGACACAGGAGCCCUGCCGUGACGGUGCUGGACCAGGGGAAGAGCCUUCAUUCUGUUCCUGAGGAAGAAAUAGUAUCCUGAAGGAUUCCCAAAAAGCUGGACAAUUAGACGGCAGCACAGCAUGAUAAGAAGAACCUGGAUGUCUGAGAUGUCCCAAACGGACUGGAUUUCUUGAGCAUGAAAAAUAAAUUUCUAUCUUGUUUAAUCCAC